AACGAACGCUGGCGGCAGGCCUAACACAUGCAAGUCGAACGCCCUAGCAAUAGGGAGUGGCAGACGGGUGGGUAACGCGUGGGAACCUUCCCUAUAGUACGGAAUAUACCAGGGAAACUUGGAGCAGUACCGUAUACGCCCGAAAGGGGAAAGAUUUCUCGCUAUAGGAUGGGCCCGCGUAGGAUUAGCUAGUUGGUGAGGUAAUGGCUCACCAAGGCGACGAUCCCUAGCUGGUCUGAGAGGAUGAUCAGCCACACUGGGACUGAGACACGGCCCAGACUCCUACGGGAGGCAGCAGUGGGGAAUAUUGGGCAAUGGGCGAAAGCCUGACCCAGCCAUGCCGCGUGAGUGACGAAGGCCUUAGGGUUGUAAAGCUCUUUUGGCGGGGACGAUAAUGACGGUACCCGCAGAAUAAGCCCCGGCUAACUUCGUGCCAGCCGCCGCAGUAAUAC
rnacentral:rRNA from 1 species